rnacentral:lncRNA from 1 species
UUUCUGUCUAGAUUUUUUUUUAGAAGUGAAUAUUCUCUCAUGAUUUAAUUGAGUCAAAUGACUGAUGGUUUGAUUAUUUUUAUAUGGAUUAUUCAUCAUGUGAUGCAUCUUUUUGUCAUCGUUUGGUCAUGUCUCGAGUCUUUUGUUGCCUUGCUAGGAUGUUAAUGUACUGUACUUGUUUGCUCUCGAUUAGCCUCUGUUAAGUUUCUCUGUUUGUAGCUAAUUUUAGCUUAUUUUCAAGUUGUUCAAAAUCUCAUUUGUUUCAUUUAGUUUACAAUGUUUAUUUAGCAUAGAAUAUAUGUUCCAUGAUUUGCAGAAUGGGUCAUCUUCUAAAUUGUAUGUUCUGUUUCUUUUCUUUAAAUAUUUGGUGCACAAAGUAUUGUUUGGCAAUGAUUCAUGACUUAAUAUGAUUUUAACCUUUGGUCGGUGUUUGUAGAAGUUUUACUUAUUGCUAAUAUGUGUUGAUAUAAUUCGGGGCUAUUGAUUUCUACGAAUGCUAAUUUUUGUUCUCAUUUUGCUACAUGUGAACUCGUAUGGAGUCCAAGUUGGAUCCAAAUCCAUU